rnacentral:rRNA from 1 species
CCUACGGGUGGCAGCAGUCGGGAAUAUUGCGCAAUGGAGGAAACUCUGACGCAGUGACGCCGCGUAUAGGAAGAAGGUUUUCGGAUUGUAAACUAUUGUCGUUAGGGAAGAUAAAAGACUGUACCUAAGGAGGAAGCCCCGGCUAACUAUGUGCCAGCAGCCGCGGUAAUACAUAGGGGGCAAGCUUUAGCCGGAAUUAUUGGGUGUAAAGGGAGAGUAGACGGAAGAACAAGUUUGUUGUGAAAUGCCUGGGCUCAACCCGGGCAUUGCAACGAAAACUAUUCUGCUUGAGUCCGCGGAAAGCAGGCGGAAUUCGUCGUGUAGCGGUGAAAUGCUUAGAUAUGACGAAGAACCCCGAUUGCGAAGGCAGCUUGCUGCAGCGGAACUGACGCUGAUGCUCGAAAGCGCGGGUAUCGAACAGGAUUAGAUACCCUAGUAGUC